rnacentral:rRNA from 1 species
AUUGAACGCUGGCGGCAUGCUUUACACAUGCAGGUCGAACGGUAACAGGCCGCAAGGUGCUGACGAGUGGCGAACGGGUGAGUAAUGCAUCGGAACGUGCCCAGUCGUGGGGGAUGACGCAGCGAAAGCUGCGCUAAUACCGCAUACGAUCUCUGGAUGAAAGCGGGGGACCGAAAGGCCUCGCGCGAUUGGAGCGGCCGAUGUCAGAUUAGGGAGUGUGUGGGGUAAAGGCCCACCAAGCCAACGAUCUGUAGCUGGGCUGAGAGGACGACCGGCCACACUGGGACGGAGACACGGCCCAGACUCCUACGGGAGGCAGAAGUGGGGAAGUUUGGACAAUGGGCGCAAGCCUGAUCCAGCAAUGCCGCGUGCAGGAAGAAGGCCUUCGGGUUGUAAACUGCUUUUGUACGGAACGAAACGGUCUGGGUUAAUACCCUGGGCUAAUGACGGUACCGUAAGAAUAAGCACCGGCUAACUACGUGCCAGCCGCCGCAGUAA